rnacentral:misc_RNA from 1 species
ACCCUUGUGGAGGAGGACGCCGAAGGUGGGGCUAAUGACUGGGGUGAAGUCGUAACAAGGUAGCCGUACCGGAAGGUGCGGCUGGAUCACCUCCUAACAGGGAGACAACAAAAUGUUUAAUAUUAUUUUGUCACCUUAGGUCGAUCGGUAUCUCACAUUCUUAAUUAAUUAAGAAUUUCAUUUUCUAAGUUUUUCUAGGUCACACCCAUUAUUUUUCCUGGGCCAUUAGCUCAGGUGGUUAGAGCGCACCCCUGAUAAGGGUGAGGUCCCUGGUUCAAGUCCAGGAUGGCCCAUAUCUCUAUGUUGGGGGUAUAGCUCAGUUGGUAGAGCGCCUGCUUUGCAAGCAGGAUGUCAGCGGUUCGAGUCCGCUUACCUCCACUGAUUACCACCUCUUCCAUAAUCAAAGGAAUUGUUUUGGUUGUGAUCAAAUUCUGAACGAAUCUAGCUUCCUAAUGAAAUCAUUAAGAUGCUGGACUCAUUGAAUUAAUUUCAUUGUUUUCAGAGAACCUUGACAACUGCAUAGAUUAUUUUUAAAGACAAUAAGCAUCUUUAAUGAUGCAGAUUUAUUAUUUGUGCGAAUGCAUUAAUAACAAUUCUAUUAAGCUGAUGCUUCAAUUUUGAAGUUAUUGGUCAAGCUACAAAGGGCUCACGGAGGAUACCUAGGCACACAGA